AUAACCACCCUCUUUAUUUUACAGAUACAGCUUCUGAGGAUCACGGGGAUGAAAGGCAUGAACUGGGCUCACACAGCUACUCCUUCCCAUUUAUGAGAGAGCCACAUGACAUCAGCCCAUAGACUGUGGAGAGUAUUCCAGAUCUAUCACAUUCUGCGAUUCUGCGAUUCCCAGAAGGCUGGUCAUGAAAAAAUUCCCUCUUCAGUUUACAUAUAUGGCAGUGAUGCACAUUGUUCUUUUGGUUGUGAAAAAUUCGAAGAAGUAGAUGUGGUCCUGGUUGAUGGAUGAACAUUGAGGCCCUCAAGUGCAUAAAGAAAAGACAAGAGGAAUCUUGGCCUCAAAAACUGAUAUCCAUCAUAAGAUCAUGGUGAAAUACAGUCUGAAGCAGGUCCAGAGUGAGAAGAGAAAAGAAUCACAGAAAUGGGGCUGGAGUUUCAACUGUAUUAAGCCAGAAGACUACCUGCCUCCAAACUUUCAAGAAGCCAACAAAGUUCCUGACUGUUUAAACUAAUUUGAGUUGGAUUUCUAUUGCUUGUAUCUAAAAGAAUCCUAACUGGUAAGCUAAACCUCCCGGAGUUGAUAGUUAGGGACUUUAUUUACUAUUCACCUUUACUUAUUAUUAUUUUACUUUUAUUUUAAACUAAUUUUAGGCCAACAGAAAAGUUGACAAAAAUAGUAGAGUUCGUAUAAACUCUUCACUAAUAUUACCAUCUUACAUAACCACAGUACACUGAUCAAAACUAUGAAAUUAACUAUAGUACAAUAGUAUUAACUAAACUAUGAACUUUAUUUGAAUUCCACUAGUUUGUCCACAAAUGUCCACUUUUGUGUUCCAGGAUCCUAUCAAAGAUCCCACAUUGCAUUUCAUUAUAAUGUCUCCUCAGUUUCUUCCAAUCUAUAACAAUUCCUUAGUCCUAUCUCUUUCAAUAUCUUGACACUUUUGGAAUGUACUGAUCAAUUAUCUUUCAUGAUUAUUGGUUGCAGGUCUACUCAGCUCUGGUUUUGGAAACUAAAAAGUCUUAUGAUUUUUGAUGCAUUCAUGAAUAUAAAUUACUCA
ensembl:lncRNA LINC00907 long intergenic non-protein coding RNA 907